UCUCAGAAUAAGAAUUGUUCUCUUCUGAAU
rnacentral:piRNA from 1 species